UUUUCUGUACUUAAAAAUCAUCAUUUCAGAUGGGCUGAUGCCAGAAGUCAUAGAAGUGACCUCUUGUACCUUCACAUCUCGUGGCCCAAGUAAUGAAAAGUCUGCCAAAAAGUGAGGUAAAGAAAAAGUUGUGAAAAGAAGCUGGACCCCAGAGGAAUGUGCUGCAGUAAAUAAACAUUUAAGGAAGUAUAUAUUGACAAAUCAGGUUCCUGGUAAGUUUGACUGCGAGAGAUGCAUUGCUGCAGAACCACAAGCACUGAGUAACAGAGACUGGAAAGCUGUUAAGUACUUUGUCAAAAAUAGAAUAACCACCAUGAGGAGAAAAUAUGAGUGAAAGAGCUUCCCUUAACA